AUUGAACGCUGGCGGCAGGCUUAACACAUGCAAGUCGAGCGGAGAUGAGGUGCUUGCACCUUAUCUUAGCGGCGGACGGGUGAGUAAUGCUUAGGAAUCUGCCUAUUAGUGGGGGACAACAUUCCGAAAGGAAUGCUAAUACCGCAUACGUCCUACGGGAGAAAGCAGGGGAUCUUCGGACCUUGCGCUAAUAGAUGAGCCUAAGUCGGAUUAGCUAGUUGGUGGGGUAAAGGCCUACCAAGGCGACGAUCUGUAGCGGGUCUGAGAGGAUGAUCCGCCACACGGGAACUGAGACACGGCCCAGACUCCUACGGGAGGCAGCAGUGGGGAAGAUUGGACAAUGGGGGGAACCCUGAUCCAGCCAUGCCGCGUGUGUGAAGAAGGCCUUAUGGUUGUAAAGCACUUUAAGCGAGGAGGAGGCUACUGAGACUAAUACUCUUGGAUAGUGGACGUUACUCGCAGAAUAAGCACCGGCUAACUCUGUGCCAGCAGCCGCCGUAACAC
rnacentral:rRNA from 1 species